AAUAUCGCUUCACUGUAUCCCGCCCUCCUUUAUUCCUUAAAACCCUAAUCUUCAAACAUUUCUCGCUUCUACGCUGUGGAUUGUGGCUUAGUCUGCUCUCGAUCUUCCGAGGGACAAUGAGUCGAUCGAGUAGGACACUUUAUGUUGGCAAUCUUCCGGGCGAUAUUCGUGAGCGUGAAGUGGAAGAUCUGUUUUACAAGUAUGGCCCAAUAGCACAUAUUGAGCUGAAAAUUCCACCAAGACCCCCUGGUUAUGCUUUUGUUGAGUUUGAAGAAGUUCGUGAUGCUGAAGAUGCUAUUCGUGGUCGUGAUGGCUAUGAUUUUGAUGGGCACCGUCUGAGGGUUGAGCUUGCACAUGGCGGGCGUGGUCAGUCGUCAAACGAUCGUUAUGGUGGUGGUGGUGGUGGUGGUCGUGGUCAACGUGGUGGAGUGUCCAGACGUUCUGAUUAUCGAGUGAAAAUUACAGGAUUACCCCAUUCAGCGUCGUGGCAGGAUCUCAAGGAUCACAUGCGUCGAGCUGGGGAUGUUUGUUUCUCCCAAGUUUUCCGUGAACGGAGGGGGACUACUGGUAUUGUGGAUUAUACAAACUACGAUGACAUGAAAUAUGCUAUCAAAAAGCUUGAUGACUCUGAGUUUCGGAAUGCCUUUUCUCGUUCAACAAUUCGGGUUAAGGAAUAUGACCACAGCCGCAGCCAAAGCCGCAGCCGAAGCCGCAGCCGUUCUUACUCCAGAGGAAAGAGUGGCAGUAGAAGCCGUAGCCGAAGUAGAAGUGUCAGUCGUAGCAGGAGCAAAAGCAAAUCUCCUAAAGUUAAAUCUUCAAGGCGCUCAAGAUCUCGUUCAAGGUCCGUCUCUUCUCGGUCCCGUUCUGGGUCAAAAGGGCAUUUUAUCUCAAGAUGUUGGAUAUAUGCGGCAGUUUGUGGAUUUUGCAUAUUAGGAUCUUGAGUGGAUAUGCAUAUGGUCUUGCCUGCAACUCUUUUUGGUUGUGGAGGUACGAUGUUUUCUAGAUGGCAACUUUGGGUCCUUUAUGAUGUCUCUGAUCUAAUGAGCAUCGUGAAAUGUUCCGUGGGUGCUAGAUUGGGAUCAUGAAGAUCAUGGAUUCUGUGGUGGAGCUGGACUGGGGAACUAACUGCCACCUGAAUUUGGAUCACCACCUAUUUGUGAUCUCCAUCAAGGUCCAGAUCACCAGCACCAUCUGUAAGUUAAAUCUCUGUUUUGGAAGUGAACUGGAUACCUCAAAAUCAAACAUGUCGGGAUCAUCCGUCUUGUCUUACUAUGUCAUUGUUUUUUGAAUACCUGGUCUUUUUAAAUUGGAAUCUCUCUUUCUUUGGCUACAUUUCUUUGUUUUUUUCUCAACUGUUUAAUUGCAGCGCCCAAAACAUUUGAGUAAAAGUCCAAAAAGACGCAGUCCCAGCCAAAGCCAGAGCCGGAGUCGUAGUCUUAGUCGUAGUCGGAGUAGAGGUUUAUCCAGUUAAGAUUGUUGGAGUCAUCUCUUGACUUGGGUUGCUGUGAUUGCGAGUGCCAUCGUGCCUGGAAGAUUAGUUGCAUAGCCAACAGUUCGGGAGUCUUAAGUGCCCGAAAGAGUGUUGUUCUCCUUACAUUAAAGGAUUUCUGUAUUAUUGAACGCCAGACGAUAAUAAUUGUUAUACUGAACGUGGCAUCUCUAAGACUUGGUAAACACUGCAAUAUUAUAGUAGAACUUUAUAGGCUUUCUAGCUGCGUGAUGGUAAGAGAUGGAACUAAUUUCCUUUUUACAUUCACAUUAUGAAUUUCCUUGA